UGCUCAAGAGGUCUUUUCCUGUUAUCCUGGAAUUGCAGAAAUGAAGUGAAGAAUGUUUCUCUUAUUGAUCUUGCCAUGGAGAACAAAUGGAAUAAGUGCCAUCAAUAUUCUGAAAAUGGCAGUGAUUUUUAUUCAACCUGUAUAAGGCACUUUCACCAUGUACCUGGAAGCAACAUCUACAUCUUUUUCAGUUUCUUCUACGCCAGGUGUGUGCUUAGCUCCAUGACAAAAGGUGACAGCUUAUUCUGCAGCACACACACAUCAUCAAAGUGGGAGGUGGUGAGACUGGCACACUGACAGUCUGUCCUAGCAGAUUUCAGCUCACACUGCAAUCUAGAUGCUGGGGACACAAGGUCCACCUUCCAGGAAUAUGGCCAUGACACCAGAAAUCACAAACAUGAUGAGAAUGGAAUGACUGGGGAAGAAGUGCCAGAUGCUUCACUUGUAAAUGAAGACCCAGCCUCUGGGGAUGCAGAUACCACCUCCCUGAAGAAGCUGAAUAUCUGCAGAUAAGUGGAGUUCACCAAUGAUGAGGAGCGGGAUGGAGAAAGGAGGUAGGGAGAGUCAUCCAAGGAACAUGAGCAACAUGUUAAAAGAAUUGAACCAGAGUCCGGUGAAUAUCAGCACUGGGACCAGUUAGCAGAGGAAAAGGAAAGAAUAAAAGCGAAAAGAAUGAAGAGUCAUAUGAUUACCAACUUUUCCUUUUUCAUAUAAAUUGAGUGUAUAUGGGUCUGGAACAACCUGAAUUUCCAUCAAGUCCUGGCUAACCUCAUUAUGUCCUAUGAAUAUUUUUGACUAAUCCCACUUUACAUUAAUCUGUAUUGUGAAUGUGGAUAUUGAAUUAUAUUUCUUUGUAAUCCCAUUAUCCAAAAUCCAGUUCAGAGACUAUUAGUUACCAAUGUUCACUGUGAAGGAAAAAAAAAAAAAAAAAGCUCAGAGGAUAAACAUGUGAUAUGGUUUGGCUGUGUCCCCACCCAAAUAUCAUCUUGAAUUGUAGCUCCCAUAAUUCCCACGUGUUGUGGGAGGGACCCGGUGGGAGAUAAUUGUAUCAUGGGGGUGGUUCCCCCAUACUAUUCUCAUAGUAGUGAAUAAGUCUCACAAAAUCUGAUGGUUUUAUGAGGGAAAACCCCUUUCACCUGGUUCUCAUUCUCUUCUCUGGUCUGUCGUCAUGUAAGACAUGCCUUUCACCUUCUCCACCAUGACUGUGAGGCCUCCCCAGCCACGUGGAACUGUGAGCCCAUUAAACCUCUUUCACUUAUAAAUUACCCAGUCUCUGGUAUAUCUUUAUCAGCAGCAUGAAAACAGACUAGUACAACAUGUUUGGAAAUGAUGUUCAGAAUUAAAUUUUCUUCUUGAAGAAUAAUAAUGUACAGGAGUGUGUUGAAGAUUUUGAGAAUUCUCACAGCAAAGGAACUUGUUAAUUUUUUUAAUCCACCUACCUAAUAGAAUUAAUAUUUUAAGAGAAACAGCUUGUGAAACAAUUAUAUAUAUGGUCCCAUAAAAACUUUUAGAAAACAAUUAUUAUACACACAUAUAAACACAUAUUACUUACUAGUAAAGAUGUACCUAUCUUCCUAGGAAGCUCUUUCAUGGUAUUUCAUUAGUAUCCCUUCCAGCACCUACCAUCCAUCCAGGCAAAUUUUAGAUGUUUUACAAAGGUUUAUGAAAUUGCAUUAAACACCUGUUAAAAAUCACUUUGUUCAUUGCAAGACAUUUAUAUACUGUAGUUUUAAAGAAAGAUAACAGCUGAGGGGAGCUACAGGAAAAAGAAAAGCAUAGAACUUAUGUUGAAUUAUUUUUCUUGUGCAUAUGAAGUUGCUCUGUGAGAACAAGAGCACUCAGCAGACGUAUAGAUCCACUAUCUUUUCACAUGGCAAUAUGUUCAUCCUUUCAGACAAUUUGAGCAAGUUUGGAACAUAAAAUAAUACAAAGAGGCUAAAAUGCAAAGCAAAAAAAAAAAAAUGAAAAUGAUUGGCACAAAAUAAUGGAGCAAUUGUAAGAGAUGUUACAUGUGUAAACUUAAACCAGGACAUAAACCGUUGAAGUUCACCGUUUAAGGAAGCAUCCAAAUAUAUAAUAGUCCUGCUAAAUGCUUGGAGUAGCAAAUUUCUAUCACAUGCAUCCACAUGCACAUCUUACAUUAAAAUCCCGUGACAAUAGUGUUAACAUCUUGUCAUUUUAGCCUUGAAUGUCAAAGGCUCAUGGGAUCUACUCCAUGACUCACAUAACCUGUAUAUCUAGAAACAGGUGUUUUAAACUCUACAUCUGGUGAUAAAUAUUAAAGAUAGAAGAUGAGAGUUCUAAAACAGUCUACUUAUUUCAUUUCCACUUGGCUUUGCCACCAUUACCUAAACUAUUACAGAUUGAGCUCCACAGACUACUCAGAAUUCUCCUCCUGUCUUGAAAUUCCAAAUGCAAUUUUCCCAGGAUUUUUAGAAAUUUAUGAAAUUAUUAGCCAAAAAUAUUAUAUUUCAAGAUUAAGCCCUCAUCCUACAGUUUAGAAAACCAAGAGCCAGCUGAAAAUACUUGCUCAAAUUCAGAGAAUGAAUGUUGUCUAAAUUAGUUCAAAAACAAGUGACUCAUUGAAGAUAAAGUAGUGUGGUGAUUAAAAGCAUGUACUUUGAAAAAAAAAAAAGUGACUCUUGGCUUGUAAUACAAUUUUUUCACUGCAUUAUUCUAAGGAAAUUUGUUAGUAGAGCUGAAAUAAUACAGCAUUAGGGUUAAAAAGUACAAGUUUCAAAGUUACAAAGACCAAGGUAGCGAAAGGCAAAUUACUCAACCUCUCUAAACAUGGUUUAUUCAUUAGUAAAAGAAGAACAAGAAUAUUAUUUAUGACAUAGUAUUAAGAGUUUUAAACAAUGUAGAAUACUGAAAGUGCCAAAAAACUAUUGUCAUUAUUACAUAUGUAAGUAAAAUUUAUUUUCUGCAUAUCAUUGUAUUAGUCUGUUUUCAUACUGCUACAAGGAACUACCCAAGCAGGUAAUUUGUAAAGAAAAGAGGUUUAAUUGACACACAGUUCAGCAUGGCUCGGGGGGCGGGGGGGCCCUCAGGAAACUUACAAUCAUGAUGGAAGGCAAAGGGGGAGCAAGGCACCUUCUUCACGAGGCGGCAGGAAGGAGAAAUGCUGAGUGAAAGGGGAAGAGCCCCUUAUAAAACCAUCAGAUCUAGUGAGAACUCACUAUCAUGAGAACCGCAUGGAAGAAACUGCUUCUGUGAUUCAGUUAUCUCCACUUGGUCUCUCCCUUGACACACGACGAAUUACAAUUCAAGAUGACUUUUGGGUGGAGACACAAAGCCUAACCAUAUCAAUCACCAUACCUUUCAAAAACUACAAAUAGUUUUCAUUACAUUUGGAGGUCAGUCUCAUGUAAAUUAUAAUGAGGUAUCAUAUUCAAAAUCCACUUUGAUCUCUGCUUCUAAGAGGACGGAGUGGACAUAAUUUCCGUAUUCCUCCCAAUGGGCACAACUAAAAACUCUGGAAAUGAUAUAUAAAACAAAUGUAAGAAGACUCUAAAGCAUGGAAAGAAAAAGGCAGGCGAGCUUGGGAAAUUGGAAUUCAAUGAACUACACAGUGCUGAGUUCCCUGAGUUUUCAUCUUGCCUCACAUAUCAUCUCAGACUGGGCACUAAAGACAUCAACAACCCGAAAAUACUAAAACGCUAAUGGACACAAACACCAAAACACACACAUACACACACAAAUAAAAACCCAAGAGAAGCCUGCUUUCUCUUGCCAAUGGACCAGAAAAGAAGCAGCAUAGGAAGACAGAAAACAUUUAGACAAUAACCACUUUACUCUAGCCAAACACUAUGUAAAAUACUGCAUGCCUACCCCUAGAAGCAAAGGCAGAGGGGAGAGUCCAGUCUUUGGACUCUUGCCAGGCUGCCAGGAGGUGCUGCAAGCCCUACCUACCUCCAGAGUGGUGUCAGAGAAGGCAGAGUGGAAAGCUGAGACCAUCAUCCCUAUCAGGUGGUAAAGAGGAUCCCCUUCAGGGUGUCAGGGGAGUCCAUGGGAAGAGGGAUAGGGACUUGGAUUUCCACCCUACCCAGAGGCACCAAGGCACCCACACUCCUCUCACUGAGGUGCUGUCAGAGGAGGUCUAAUGGAGAGUCGGUACUUUAAUGUGGCUCAGUGGUAACAAGCUCGACCCCAAAAGUGCUAGUAGAGGCCAUGUGGGAAGCUGUAAGAAGACAUCCCUCCCCUCCCAGCCAGGGUGGUAUCAACAGAUACCUAAUGGGGAACUGAGUUUUGACCAAAGUGCAAAAGCAAUUCAAUGGAGGAACAAACUUUUCAAUAAAUGGUGCUGAAGCAAUUGGAUACCUAUAGGCAAAAAAAUAAAAAUAAAAAAAAAUUAGACCUCAAACGUUUAACAAAAAUUAACUCAAAAUAAAUAGUAUAUUUAAUAUAAAAUGUAAACUACAAAACUUACAAAAUAACAUUGGAGAAAAUUUUCAGGACCUAGGACUUGGUGAAGAAAAUGUAGAUGUGACACCAAAAGCACAAUCCAUACGAGUAAAAAAUCAAUAAAUUGGAUCUACUUUUGCUCUGUGAAAGAUCCUGUUUAAGAGAAUGAAAAGACAAGCUAUAGAGUGGGAGAAAAUAUUUGCAAAUAUCAGUGAGAUUUCUUAAAAUUGAACAGUUAAAAACAAAUAACCCAAUUAGAAAAUGGGCCUUCCCCACCCCCAAAAAACCCAUGAAGAGACAUUUCAGACAUGUAAGCAAAUGAAAAAAUGUUCAAAGUCACUAGCUAUUAGGGAAAUGCAAAUAAAGACCAUGAGGAGACAUCACUACAUACCUUUCAACAUGCUGACAUAAAAAAAACGGUGACAACACCAGAUGCUAGCAAGGAUACAGAGAAACUUGAUGUCUCAUACAUUGCCAGUGGGAAUACAAAAUGGUUAAGCCACUGUGGAAAACAGUUUGGCUGUUUCUUAAAGUAAUUAAACAUAUGCUUACCAUACAACCCAGAAAUUGUACUCCAGGGCAUUUAUCCCAGAGAAAUGAAACAUUAUUGUAGCAGUUUUUUGUUGUUGUUGUUAUAGCCAAAACCUGGAAUACAGCAAUAAAAAGGAAUAAACUAUUAAUACACACCAUGAUUUGGAUGGAUUUCAAAGUCAUUACAAUAAGUGAAAAAAAAUCUCAGAGGACACAUUUAUAUGUGAGCUCAUUUAUACAACAUUCUUGAAAUGAUAAAAUUACAGAGACAGGAAAAAAAAAUUAUGUUUCCCAUGAGUUAGGGAUGGUAUAGGCGAGGAAAUUGAGUGCAGCUAUAAAGGGGUAAUUUGAGGGAGAUCUUUGUGGUAAAGGAAUAGUUCUGUAUCUUGAUUGUACUGAUGAUAUAGACUGAUGAAUCUACACAUAUGAUAAAAUGACAUGGAAUCAUAUAUACUCAUUGUCUAAUUUCUGUCUUUGAUGCUGUAUUAUAGUUAUAUAAGAUGUAUCCAUUGAUGGAAACUGAGAGAAGAGUACGUGGGUUGUCUCUGUGCUACUUUUGCAACUUCCUGUGAAUCUACAAUUAUUUUAAAAUAAAAUUUUUCUUUUUUUAUUAUACUUUAAGUUCUAGGGUACAUGUGCACAAUGUGCAGGUUUGUUACAUAUGUAUACAUGUGCCAUGUUGCUGUGCUGCACCCAUUAAGUCGUCAUUUACAUUAAGUAUAUCUCCUAAUGCUAUCCCUCUCCCCUCCCCCC
rnacentral:lncRNA from 10 species